GAUUUGAAUCCAGUUCCACUGCGUCUGUAUAGUACCUUUAAUAAUAUGCAUUGUCACAAAGCAGAUUUACAUUAAGAAAAAAAAAAAAAACAAUCCAGAGACACUGGCAAGGAAAAACUCCCUGAGAGGACAUGAGGAGGAAACCCUCAGACUCCUCUUCUUCACUACAUAGUGUAUACUACAUAGUGUACUCUACUACACAUAAACCAUGUGUAGUAGAGUACAAACAAACAGCACUGAGUGUGUUGAGACGAUGGUCAGUAUGAGCAGGUUGUGAGUAACAGUCCUGAGAUGUCUUUACGAUUACAGCAGCAGCUCUUAGGUAUAAAUCUACAGUAUCCAGGUCAAAGGUCAACCAAUAGUGGAUCUUACUAUAACUGAGUCGGGCGGUAUUAAUCGAUAACUGAUUAAUCGACCGAUAGUUUUUCAUAUUGAUACUGAAAACAUAAAGCUCAAACUGAAAUAUUGCCGAACUUUAUUACAAAAAUGAACAGUACCAUAAAAAUGUGCUGUAAUGAAGUAAAUAUAGCUAUAUAAUAUUAAUAUAGUAUCAAUAUUUAGAACUCAGAUAUACAUCCAAGCUGACCCAAAAAGUAACACUUCAAAUCCAGCCAUCCGUUUUAUGUACCGCUUAUCCUACUGGGUCACGGCGAACCUGGAGCCGAUCCCAGGGAGCAUCGGGUACACCCGAAGGCGGGGUACAUCCUGGGCAGGAUGCUUGCCAGUCCAUCGCAGGGCACACUCACAUACACAUCCACACACUUUGGACAUGCCUACCAUGCAUGUCUUUGGACUGGGGGAGGAAACCGGAGUACCCGGAGGAAGCACGUGGAGAACAUGCGAACUCCAUAUACACAGGGCAGCGGCGGGAAUCGAACCCCCGACCCUGGAGGUGUGAGGCGAACGUGCUAACAGUUUAUCCGUUUAAUGGCGCCGUUUAUCGGUGGAUCCGAUAUUACAAAACCGAUAUCCGAUUAUGAAUAAACGCUUAAAAAUCGAGGAAACCGAUUAUCGAUCGAUCUCUAGUCGUCAUCAGGCGGAAGUGGACCCUGCAAAGUAUUUCAACAGACCAGACCAGACCAGACAGGCCUCGAAAAAAUACCACACGGAUGAAAGAACUGGACAUAGUUCCGUGACUCCGGUGUUUUACACGUGAACCACGUGUAGAAAAAACUCUGUUGCAGUUCAUCCAGUCAUGUGCGUUUAGGUAAAAUGAUUCAGCUGAAGGCAGCUCAUCAGAUCAGAGACUAGAUACAGGGUUAGAGACAGUAUAUCAGAAAGGGGAGAGUUGUCCCAGACUUUUAUUUAUUUAUUUGUUUGUUUGUUUGUUUAUUUAUUUUUAUGUUUAAUUUAGUGGAGGCUAUUAUAAAAGCAAAAGCCAGACCAAAUCUGAACUGGGAUGUUCAGCCAGCACAUAUGGAAGUGAUGCGAGGUCCGGCGUCGGUGAAGGUGCUGAAGCGGUGCACUCGUGUGGAACCCGAGCCGCAGACGCAGCACCCGGACACCCGGGUUGUAUUCGGAGUGUCUCUGCAGCGUCUGAGAGACGCCGGGCGGCUACAGCGUGGAGUCCCUCUGGUGCUCAAGAACAUGGUGGAGUUUUUGGAGAAAUAUGGUCUGCAGCAGAGUGGUGUGUUCAGGGUGUGUGGCUCUGCGCCACGCUGCAGGACGUUGCGUACGUGUCUGGACCGCGGUGAGUGUGUGGAUCUAGAGAGCGUGGACGUGCCAACGGUUGCCGCUUUGCUCAAGCUGUAUCUCCGAGAACUGCCGAGUGGACUCAUACCACACACACACUGCACACGCAUGCAGCAGGCACUCAUGGAAUCCAAAGAUGGAACAGAGCUGGUUGAGGCACUGAAGGAAGUCCUGCAUCGUCUCCCUGACGACAAUUACAACAUCCUGUCUUACCUUCUUCACUUCCUGUCUCGAGUCGCUGCCCACAGUCAGUGGAAUCACAUGACCUCGGAGAACCUGGCCACAGUGUUCGGGCCGUGCAUUUUCCGCGUGCCCGACGGCCCGAGGAUGCUGGAGGAGCAGACCGUGUGCAACACCCUUACACUGCAUCUGCUGGAGAAACACACACGUCUGAUCCCAGACACACACACCAGCUACACAGCUCACACCGCACACACCACACCCACUGCACACACCGCACACACCACACACACCGCACACACCGCACACACCGCACCCACUGCACACACCGCACACACCGCACACACCGCACCCACUGCACACACCGCACCCACUGCACCCACUGCACACACUGCACACACCACACCCACUGCACACACCGCACACACCGCACCCACUGCACACACCGCACACACCGCACACACCACACCCACCGCACACACCGCACACACCACACCCACCGCACACACCACACCCACCGCACACACCGCACACACCGCACCCACUGCACACACCGCACACACCGCACACACCGCACCCACUGCACACACUGCACACACCGCACCCACUGCACCCACUGCACACACUGCACACACCACACCCACUGCACACACCGCACACACCGCACACACCACACCCACUGCACACACCACACACACCGCACACACCACACCCACUGCACACACCACACACACCGCACACACCGCACACACCACACCCACUGCACACACCACACCCACUGCACACACCACACCCACUGCACACACCGCACACACUGCACACACCGCACCCACUGCACACACCGCACCCACUGCACACACCGCACCCACUGCACACACUGCACACACCGCACACACCACACACACUGCACACACCACACCCACUGCACACACCACACACACCGCACACACCGCACACACCACACCCACUGCACACACCACACCCACUGCACACACCGCACACACUGCACACACCACACCCACUGCACACACCACACCCACUGCACACACCGCACACACUGCACACACCACACCCACUGCACACACCGCACACACCGCACCCACUGCACACAGCAGGAAAUCCAUGUUGUCUCCCCCUCAUCUUAAUGACAUAUCACAACUACAGCAGGAGCAGUCUUGUACCUCAGAGAAGGUAUGUGAUGUUGAUGUGGGUGUGGCUAAAGAAAUAAAUGCCCUCCCACCACCCGCAGCAGAUACACGCCCACUCUCCAGAAGGUUCACCUCAAACCCGGACAUGUUGGACACGGACGAGAGGAGAGGAAGUGUAGAGACCGGGACUGAGGCAGAGAACAAGGAGAACGCAGGACAUCCAGAGCAUCAUCCUGAACAGGAAUUAUACCUAAUCAAGGAAGAUCAGUCCUGCCUCACACGCUCCCACAUGAGCCUUGCUCCAGAGCGCCCCACUCCAGACGGCGACACACACUCCGAUACCAGCGACGCCAGACAUCAGAGACACCAGACCAGAGACACGCACAGCCAGAAGGACACGCAGUCUAACACGAGCCGCACACGCUCUCCGAGCGGCGAUACACAAACCGAGAGCCAAAGCUCACACUCUGAGCCUGGGAGCACACACACACACACCGAGGCCAGGAUCUCAGAGAGCAAACACGUACCCUCAGAUUACAGCUGCACACACACUCAGAGCCCUGACACACACGCUACAAGGCUGACGGAGGAGGACGUCGACUCAGCGUCUAGAAACUACGUCAGAGCCCCUCCCAAUUCCCCCGUUCACCGUCCAAUCCCAAGCCAGGCUCAGACUCUAAGCAGUGGACAAGACUCCGCCUCCUGUGCAAAAUCCAGCCAAUUACGUGUCAUCAGAGAGGAUGGUGCAAACGGUACCCACGGGAUGUCAACCUCUCAGUUGCGUCAGCGUAUUCAGAAGCUCAAGCGAGUAAUCAGGAGCUUUGAGGAAUCCUUCCAGAAUAUCCACAUCUACAAGGCCGAUCUCGACGGUAACACGACUCGUCCUGAAGAGUCCGAGCUCACGACGGUCCUCGGAGAGUCACGCAAGCGGCUGAAAGAGUUGCGCUCAAGACGGCGUGCGCACGCUUCGGAAAAGUCCGAAACUCAGAAACUCGGUGCGCGUCCACACACACCAGACGUGGAGGACACGGUGAACACGUUAACUCGGCGUCUUAAAGAGAAACGACUGGAACUGAACCUGCCAGAACGCAUACAGGACAUGUCUCACGCUCAGUUGGCUCUGGAGAAGACGACACUACAGAAGUGUCUUCUUUACUACGAGAGUCUUCACGGCAGGCCGAGUUCUAAAGAGGAGAGGUGUGUAGUGAGAGAGCUGUAUGACCGCUACCAUCUGGUGAAGCAGGCCUUCUACAGCGCAAACACACAGACCAGUACCACUAGAGGCUUAGAAGAGUGUGUCGAUGUGAAUCUUGUGCCAUUAGAAGAGGACUCUAAUCCCAUCUUCGUCACCCAGAUGGUCACGCAAGCAACAGCGUCCACAAACGAUACACGCUUGGUUAACAGCACUCUUCUAAAGUGCUUUACAUAGUACCACUAGUGUGUAGCGUCCACAUGGAUGAUGUGAUGGCAGCCAUAGUGCUCCAGAACACACACACCACACUAUGAAUUAGUGGAGAGGAGAGGAGAGUGAUGUAGCCGAUUAAGGGAUGGAGAUUAUUAGGGGGCUAUGAGGGGAAUUUCGGCAGGACGCCGGGGUUAUACCUCUACUCUUUUACGAUAAGUGUCCUGGGAUGUUUAACGACCACAGAGAAUCAGGACCUCGGUUUAACGUCUCAUCUGAAAGACGGUGCUGUUUUUACAGUAUAGUGUCCUCGUCACUACACUGGGGCGUUAGGAUUCACACAGACCACAGUGUGAGCGCCCCCUGCUGGCCUCACUAAUACCACUUCCAGCAGCAACCUUAGUUUUCCCCAGGAGGUCUCCCAUCCAGGUACUGGCCAGGCUCAACCCUGCUUAGCUUCAGUAUGAAACCAGGCGAGAGCUGCAGGGAGAUAUGACUCUGGGAGAUAUGGCUCUGGAAAGAUCCUGUGGGCGGAGCUUCGUGACAUGGGGUGGAGCUGUGGAGGCAGCUGAAACAGACAAGGAUGGAGAAACGGCAACUGAGAACACUUCUCAAAGAGUACGAGAAGAACUUUCUCAUAAAGAAUGGCAGGCGUGCACAGAGAGAGGACCGUCUGGUCAUGGCGGAG